rnacentral:misc_RNA from 1 species
UAAAAAAAAAAAAAGAGAAAAAAUUGGAGAAAAGAUUAAAAAGAGAGUCCAUGGUCAAAACUGCCAUAAAACUUCCAAUUUAAGAAAAAAAAAAUUUCUCCAGUCAUCUUCCACCGCUGAUAACAACCAUCUAACGCCGCAUCAGAACACACGCAUCACCUCAUAGAGAACCAAUCCACUAAAUCGCCACCUACGCGCCUCUGCGUGAAUACCACGUGCUGAAUGGAGACGAGUGGCGAGCGGCACAGUGGGCAAUUGAAAUUGCGAUGAUCAAGCCAUCCAUCAAAGCAUUCCUUGUGAAAGACAUGGCGGCAAUCAAGCUUCCUGACCUGGUCCCCAUCUCUUAGCGUGCACAAGCACACCACACAAUCCGAUCCUCCCUUAUUGCUAUCAUCGCCUCCUCCACAACAGUACUUGUAAGAGAAAACGCGGUUGAUAUUGAGCUGCUCGGCUAGGACGAUGAGGCCACCAAGGCCAGAACCCGUUGAGCCAAGGAGGCCAUCAUCGAUUACGCCAUGGGAAGAACCUAAUCGGGAAAGACCCAAGGAGUGGAAGAGGGUGAAAAAUAAAGAGCGGAGAUGAUCGACGUAUUUGGCUAUGAGUGCUAGGAGCAAUAAGGGGAUAGAAUCAGACGAUACGUCGUUUAGCUGGUUCUGUAAGCCCAUCUUGUUGCUCUGUUUUAUGCGUGUGGAAAGGAAAGGAAAGACGAAUUUUUAUUUUAUUUUUUUCUUAUAAAAAGAGAAGGCCGUGUAUAUUUAUAAGCAGAGAGUUUAUAAGGAGAGAGAGAGAGAGAGAG